UGCGGGGUGGUAGAAUGGCGCUAUGCCAGUCUCAUACGCUGGAGAGGUCCGGUUCGAUUCCGGCCCCCGCUACCA
rnacentral:tRNA from 1 species